rnacentral:lncRNA from 1 species
AAACUUUUUAUUAAAGUAUUAUACAAAUUUAAUAACUUGUAUUUUAAAAAGUUUUUUAUUUGUAUUUUUAUAAUUAUUAAAAAAAAAAAUUAAUUCUUAAAUUAUUUAUACAUUUUUAAUUUUUAUACAUUAUCUUUAAUUAUUUUCAUUGUAAAAGGUUUAGUUUAAAUUUUAAAAUAUGUACGAUAUAUUUAUGUAUAUGUAUACAUUAUAAAUGUAUGUUUAUUUAUAUAUACCAUGUACGUGAUUUAUUCUCUUUUUUUUGAAAACCAUAGUUUUAAUAUAAUAAAAAAAAAAAAUAAAUAUAUAAUUAGAAUUAGAAUUUACCUGUGUUUUUACUUUUGCAUAUCUUUAUAUUAUAUAUUUUUAUACUAUAUUUAUUUUUUCAUUAUAUUUUUCAUAUUAUUUUAUAUUUUUUAUAUUUUCACAUUUUUUUAGAGUAUAGUUUUUUAUAUAAAAUAGUUAUACUGGCUUUUAUUAUUAAUUUAGCUACUUUAUAUAUAUAUAUAUAUACCCAUAUAUGUAAAUAUAUAUAUACCUAUAUAUGUAAAUAUAUAUAUACCUAUAUAUGUAAAUAUAUAUAUACCUAUAUAUGUAAAUAUAUAUAUAUAUAUUUUUCUAUUUUUAAUAAUGUUUUAAAUUGUAUAAUUUUAUUAUUGUAAGUAUCGUUGUUAUCAAUAAAUUAGUUAACUUUUUAACUAAAAAAAAAAAUUACAACUACAUUAUAGAAAUAGAUAUAUAUUUUUUUUUAAAUAAUGUACAUAGUAUUAUGUUGAUUAUCUAUUUCAUCAUUUUUUAAUUUUUUUUUAAUUUUCUUUCUGUAUUUUUAAUCACGUUUAAUUAUAAACAAAAAUUGAUAAGUUAGAAUGAAGCCCCGUAAAUUCUACGGUUUAAUAAAGAAGACGUACUAUGAAAAAAAAAAAAGAUCUUUUUCUCUAUGUGUUCUUUUUUUUAAUACCUUUUGUGUUAAUCUAUUUCCAUUUGUUUUUGAGGAACAUAAGCGAUAGAUACUCAUUAGAAAUAUACAACAAUUUUUCUGAAGAUGAUAAGAUCGACUUAAAUGAUACCAUAAGACAAUACAUAACAUUUACGAGUAAUGAUUUAUGUGCAACGAUAUUGAACGACGAUAUUUAUAUAAACCACAUAUGUAUAACGCCUAAAAGUGACUUGGCAAAUGGUUUUUUAUUUUACACAAAUGAUAAUGAUUUAAAUGUUUUUCGAUUAUACAAAAAUGAAGAAGAAUGUUUGAAAAAUUUAAAAUAUGCUAUACAGUUAAAAUAUGAAGACGUUAAAAAUAUAACCAACAACAGUAGUUACAAUAACAGUAGUAACAACAAAAAUAAAAUUGAAAACACGGAAGAUGUGGCAUAUGAUGAUAAAUUUAUUGAAUUUAAUCGAGUCAUAAAUAAUAUAUUUAAAAGUAAUAUAAGUAAUAAAGAAUCAUUAAGUUUAGAUGAUUUAUAUAAAAAUGUGUAUUUACAAAAGGAAUAUAAUAAUUUAUUAAAAGUAAAAAUAGAUAAACAACUGUUAAAGGAAAUUAAAAAAACAAAUUUAUAUAAAACUUUUAUUAAAACUAUUAAAAAUUUAAAAAAAGGAAAGUUAUUAUAA